CUGGCAAGCCCCGAGGCAGGGAUGGCCGGCCCAGGAGGGAGGAGGACGACGUCCCUCCCGGGGAGAAGAGGCUGCGGCUGUUGCUGGAGGGGGGAAGAGCACAGCCCUAGGACUGCGAGGACGGGGAGGACGCGCCGCGGCCGGGCAGGGAGGAGACCGGCACCCAGACAGGUGGCGACGGCAGAGGAGAUUACUGUCCACAAACAAACAAACAGCACCAAAACUCCCAACAAUAAGAACAACAGAAAUCCCACCUAAGGCACCAAAGGCUUGCCAGAAGAAAGGAUUUCUCUCCUGUUUUCACCCACUCCCUGUGCCUCCUGACUGACCCCGGUGCUUCCCCCAUGGCUCUGCAGAUCUUGGUGUGCCCACUCCUCUUGGGAACUAACAGAGGGAAUUUCCUGGAAGGCAGGGUCUGUGUUCAUCUCCCACAGAGCAUAGAGCACAGUGGAUGCUGAGGAAAUGGUGAAUGCUGGAAAGGAGCAACAGGAUGCCAAGGCCAGAAGUUCACCUUUGUGACCAAACUGGCUGAAACUGGUGAGAUGCAAGACGGCAGCUCACUUGACCUCCAAAGAACCUCUAACUUCAUUAUAAUAUAAUUUCCUUGCUAAAUGACACUCCCAUCAGUGUCAUGACAGUUGACAUUGCCAUGACAAUGGCCAGAAGAAACCAUAAAGGGACAAAAAGGAAGGUAGUAACUCUGGUUCCAAGGAGUUCUCCCAUUUCCAGAAAAGACAUGGAUAUUCCUCCCCUUGCUUUUAAUGCCCAACUUUUUCAUUAAAGAUGAAGCCUGUAUCUAUGGUUUCCCAGCUCUCAGGAGCUGAGAAGUUGAUUUGUGAGCCAAACUCCCACUUCUCAAUAAAGGCCGUCGAAUAAAGCAUGCACUGUUUCAUGCUUACUUUUGGGUUCGUGUAUUGGCUUCACAGCACAGAACAGGAAAAGGCUCCAUCUUCUGGGGGACAGGCUUUGUUGGUAACAAAAGGACUGGCCCAGAGUCAGAGUUAGGAAGUGAUAAAGCCAGGUGUCUGCC
rnacentral:lncRNA from 10 species